rnacentral:rRNA from 1 species
GUAGUCAUAUGCUUGUCUCAAAGAUUAAGCCAUGCAUGUCUAAGUAUAAGCAAUUAUACAGCGAAACUGCGAAUGGCUCAUUAAAUCAGUUAUCGUUUAUUUGAUAGUACCUUACUACUUGGAUAACCGUGGUAAUUCUAGAGCUAAUACAUGCUAAAAACCCCGACUCACGAAGGGGUGUAUUUAUUAGAUUAAAAGCCAAUGCCCUUCGGGGCUCACUGGUGAUUCAUAAUAACUUGUCGAAUCGCAUGGCCUUGCGCCGGCGAUGGUUCAUUCAAAUUUCUGCCCUAUCAACUUUCGACGGCUGGGUCUUGGCCAGCCACGGUGACAACGGGUAACGGAGGGUUAGGGCUCGACCCCGGAGAACGAGCCUGAGAAACGGCUAUUACAUCCAAGGAAGGCAGCAGGCGCGCAAAUUACCCAAUACCGACUCGGUGAGGUAGUGACGAUAAAUACUGAUACAGGGCUCUUUAGGGUCUUGUAAUUGGAAUGAGUACAAUUUAAAUCCCUUAACGAGGAACAAUUGGGGGGCAAGUCUGGUGCCAGCAGCC